ACCCGCACCUCUGCAGGAGGCCGCAGCCAGACCCGCGCCGGAACCAUGUUUCGCAACCAGUAUGACAAUGAUGUCACUGUUUGGAGCCCUCAGGGCAGGAUUCAUCAAAUUGAGUAUGCAAUGGAAGCUGUCAAGCAAGGUUCAGCCACAGUUGGUCUGAAAUCAAAAACCCAUGCAGUGUUGGUUGCAUUGAAGAGAGCACAGUCAGAGCUUGCAGCUCAUCAGAAAAAAAUUCUCCAUGUUGACAACCAUAUUGGUAUCUCAAUUGCGGGACUUACUGCUGAUGCUAGACUGUUAUGUAAUUUUAUGUGCCAAGAGUGUUUGGAUUCCAGAUUUGUAUUUGACAGACCUCUUCCUGUGUCUCGUCUUGUAUCUCUGAUUGGAAGCAAGACCCAGAUACCAACACAACGAUAUGGCCGGAGACCAUAUGGUGUUGGGCUGCUUAUUGCUGGUUAUGAUGAUAUGGGCCCUCACAUUUUCCAAACCUGUCCAUCUGCCAACUAUUUUGACUGUAGAGCCAUGUCCAUUGGAGGCAGUAAUUCUGACAAGAGCCUGUUAGAUACUGGUGAGUUUGAAGCUGAAGCAAUGGGGAAAUUAGAACAACUUGGAAGAACUUCAAACUGA